CGGCCAUCUUGGCUCCUCCCCCCGAGAUUGAUAAAUCCAAGAAAAUAGAGAAGAUCAAAAGAAGAUACAUAGCUGAAAACACUUGAAGGUAUAGACUACCUUGAAAGUCACGCAAGAACUGUUCUUCCUGCUUUCCAUAUCCAAGAUGCAGAAGUCAAGGCACAGGGAUGUGAACAUACGUGGGUCAUGUUUCAUAGUACCUGGACCAAGAGAAGAGGUCUCUCUAUGUUGAGAAAAUGGCAAUGCCUUCCCACAGCAUGGUACUUCUUCUCCUUCUGAGAAUGAUACUGUUACAUAAAGGUUUUCGGCGGUGCCCCAGAACACGGAGAUUUCCUUCUGCCCAGCUGCAUGAGGCACACAUAUCCUGGGAUGGCAUUAGGAAGAUGGCCACUUUCACAUCAACUUAUGUACUCUGGCACCAACCUCUCUUCUCCCUACCCAGCCCAACUUCCCACCCACUGCUAUUGGGAUGAUAUGUGCUCUUGGGUAAGGAAUGCAUAUCCAAAUGCUACCUCAGAUCAGGGAGGUAAUACCUGGCCUCAAUUCUCUGCCCUUAAAGAAUCUUGCAGCCAAAUUGGGUAAAGAGUCAAGACCCAUCGGUGUGCUUUAUUCAGGAGACCCAUCUCACGUGCA
rnacentral:lncRNA from 1 species